ensembl:lncRNA
AAUGUGUAGUUCAUUAAAAAAGUAUCCAUAUGCAUGGCUAAAUUUAAUAGACUUUACCUUUUACUUACAAAAUUGUUAAAUGUUCUUCGGAACAUUGAUUCUAUUCCAUUUCUUGAAAUAUCACAGAAACCUUCAAUUCAAAGAAUGGAUUUUCACACUUCCCCUUUUAACUUUUUUUUUUCUUCUAGAUACCCGUGUGCCCUUUAAUUUUAAAAAGAUCUUUACCGGGGGUAGGGAUGGGGGUGACAAAUACCGCCCUGCGUUUUUGGUGCCCACUUCUUUGUCUGGGGAAUGGCAAGAAGGGGACUGGGAUCCCGUACUCAAGAGCCCCUUUUAAAGACCCAGACCGGGGACGCCUCUGGUUUCAGCAGCUCCCUCCGCUGAGUUAUUGAUUGCAGGCAGCAGCAGUCCCUCAGGUUGAUUUGUGUGGAAAGUGAAUCCUCGCUGGAUAGGCGUUCAGCAGAGGCGCCGCAGCCGCAAAGCCAGCCAAUUAUUGCCGGUCCUCCCCUCCAACCCCGCGCUCACUACCUACACACUCCUUGCUGUGUCAGUCUCCACUUCCCCUCUACCCACGAUCCACCCCCCCUCCCCGCGCGGACGGAGCCGAGGGGGCGGUGGUGGGGGGGCUCCCUCCCCGGGAGCGUUUCUAGAGCUCGGAGGCAGCUCGCAGGGGUUUGACAGUCCACAUGUUUAAGUCUAACAGAAGAAAACAAAAAUCACUGGAUAUGAAGUUAUGAGACAGACCCAAGUCUACAUCUACAUCCUCAUGGUUGGUGACCUUGGAUAAAUUUCAUUUUUGUGCUUCUGUUUCAUUUUCUUUAAAAUGAGUAGUUGAAAGCUUCAAAGACUCAAAGAUUUCAUGAACUUAAAAGAAGACUGAUUGAAAGAAAUGCGUGGCCAUUAUUACCUCGCUGCUCAGUUUAUUCAUGGACACAUACUUGUUACAUACAUCUGAAGUUUCCUUAAGGAAAUGAACUCUGUGGAUGUGAUACUUGGCCAUUGGGAGAAGUGGAAUAAAUAAGAAAAAAAAAGGGGGAACAAGUUAGUGACAAAGGAGCCGUGGGCACCACUUUCAGAUAAAAACAUAGACCUGAAUGGCAUCAUCCAGUAUCCAAGGAAACCAUGCACUGUGGUGUAUCCUGAGCAGGACCGAGACAAGGGUGUUUUUCUUAAGAGCCACUGAUUUAGUCAAUUAUCAAAAAUCACAUUAUAAUAAAUGCUGUUCUAAGAAUUUUGAUUAACCUUUAAAUAAAUGUUACUUUGAAAAAAAAAACCCCUGCCAAAUGUGUUAAUAAUAAAUUGUGAAGUGGUA